GUCACUUGAGGGUCCUGUCACGUGGGGGUUCUCCCUACCGGGUGGCGCCCCAAGGGCCGGCCCUCCGCACCGACGUCCUUUCGCUGCAGCGGUGGUGCGCGCGCCGCGCUCUCCCCCGUGGCUGGCUCUCGGCUGCAGCGUGGCGGGCGCGCGGAGGCGGCCUGCUCCCCACACUGACCCACGGCCGCUGCGGCGUCGGGGCCCCAUGGCGCGGGGCCUCGGGGACCGAGGGGCACGUCCUUCGGAGGCGGGGCUGGCUCUGGCUCUGGCACUGGCACUGGCUCUGGCUCUGUCUUGAGCGCUCGGCCUGGAGGGCGGGCUGAGGCGGCGGGCGGCGUCAACGCGGUCGGCCGAUGGACAAAGUUUGGAGAGCGCUUCGGGGCAGUACCUCUGGAAGUGGCCCCAAAGCAUACGCACGUCUGGCUCCCAUCGCAGGAGGGCUCUUAACCAGGACACGAUGACUGUGCUAGUGAUCCACUGUCUCCUGCCUGUGACGGUGCUGGUGAUCCACUGUGCCUGCCUGUGACUGUGCUGGUGAUCCACUGUCACCUGCCUGUGACUGUGCUAGUGAUCCAUUGUCGCCUGACUGUGACCAUGCUAGUGAUCCACUGUUGCCUGUGACCGUGCUAGUGAUCCACUGUUGCCUGUGACUGUGCUGGUGAUCCACUGUUGCCUAACAUACCAAAAUGUUGUGGCUUACACAAUAAACGUUUAUUCUCUCUCAGUGUUUGUGGGUGGGCAGUGCAGGAGCCAGUGCCUGGGGCUGCAGGUCUUAAAGGAGGCUGCAGUCAGGCUGUUGGCUGGGGUUCUGUCUCCUGCGCAGGCUCCGCAGGGGGAUCUGCCUCCAGGCCCACUCCCAGGACUGCUGGCAGGACUUCCCUCCUCUGGGCUCUCAGCUCCUCAGUCCCUUGCUUUGGGGCUUCUCCAGAGGUGCUCUCACAGCGUGGCGGCUGGUCUUCCAUGGAGUGAACGGACGAGAGAACCAGAGUGCUCAGGAUGGAGCCACCUCAUCUCCCAUGUGACCCCAUCACGUUUGCUGUGUUCUGACAUUAGAAGUGCAUCGGAUUAUACAGCCUGGGUGGCAGGUCUGAUUACAGCGGAAGCCUGCGAUAAUGAAGGAGCCAGCUACUUCUCUAGGACUAGACGAUUGUUCUGGGUUUGGACUGCUUUCCCCAACUUAUGGAUCUUUUAUCCAGUCCAUCUGUGGACCUACUGAAUACCUUAUACUCCACACAGCUUAUACAGCAUCCCAGACGACACUGCUUCUCACCCAGGAACUCACUUUCCCGUGAAAGAGGUAAAGAAGGGUACUGAUGCCAUCGCAGCAGAAGCAACUGGGUUUACAGAAUAACGGACAGCCCUAUUGAAGGCUGCCUUCUGGAACCAGAUGAGACACACACUUUGGGAUGCUGUCGUAAAGGAUUCGGCAUAUGCUCCAAAUGAGUUAACAGCAUUUAGUGAUAUCUCUUUUGUUGACACAGUGACAAAGUCCAAAGAGUAGAGGGAUUGACGCUAUGCUGUUGCAUCUGACUCAGUGCCCGUAUAUUUUGCUUUCCACUGUGGGGAGAGACUCUGCCGUGGGUCCUGAGCACCCUGCAUAUUAUUGCCGAGCAUGCCAGCUGCGAGGCUUAUCCAUCUCCUGACACUGAACAGUUUCCAAAGCUAGUAACACAGGCACCUACGUGGGUCCAGGUGGCCAGAGCAUUACUACCAUUUCACUGCCGCUGCCCUAGGGGAGAGACUGGCUUGUUUGCUACUUGCUCAACAACUGCGUGGCCCUGGAUUCUCCUCCUGCACUCAACCCGAUGUGUGUAUGGGUGUCAUCUGGCCCACCACAGCCCUGUGGAAACGGGGCUCCAGGAACCGGGGCAAACAUGCGACGCUUGGGCUACUGCUUUGCUCUAAUAAAAAGAUUUUUGUGUCUUACCCAGGAGUCUCCGGUCUCUUGCCAGCAUCCACGACACUGCAGCAAGCAAGCUGCAAGUAGGAUAAAAUCUCAGACCCUUCACUGCUCUUGCCGUCCAUCUGCACAACUCCAGGUUCUGUUGGUAUACCAAUUUUUGUACCCAGAGUGUGCAAGGGGAUACAAAGUUUCCUCUGUACUGGAAGCUGGAAUUGCCUCCUGCUCAUUUUUAGCUCCUUCCCCUAGGUGAGGAGUUAGAAAAGUGGUUAUGGUGCAGCUGGAGUGACUGGCCCUGAUGACCAUGGGGAAAAAGGAGUAGGGAGAGGAGUCUGACAGGGGCAUCUCAUCUCCUGGAAUACCUCCUCGAAAUAACAUGUUGAGUUGUACAAAUUAAGCAGACUCUUGCAACCAUACGGAGGCAAGACGGACUACAGCAGACCUCUGAUAUGUUUUGUAUUUGGUGCUCAGUCAUCAAACCCGUUUCAUAUGUUUGGUGAAUCUUGGUAGGAGAAAUGCUCCCAUCUUCUACUGUGGAAGCUAAGGUCACAUAUCCUUGCUGUCUUUGAUGCUUGACAGCCCAAGUGCUGGCGCAAGACGAAAUAAGCUUGGUCAGUUGGACAUUCCCACCAGUCUCUGAAUCUGGAACGAGUGAUGCAAACAAGCAGGGUGUUUGGAAUCCGGUUUUCAGAGGCCUCACUGCCCACAGCAGUAAACAAACUCCCAGCUCUCCCUGAGGCUGGAACUUGGCUACGGUUUUGGUCAUCUAGCUUCCUUUGGUUUCUGUUUUCCAAAGCUGGUUCUCCAGCCUUUCCAUCAAUUCUGUGAGCGAUAUAUCUAAUAUUCUUCCAAUAAACUGUUUUCCUGCCUAAGUUAA
rnacentral:lncRNA from 1 species